GUGCUCACUUCCACAGCACAUAUACUAAAAUUGGAAUGAUACAGAGAAAGUUAGCAUGGCCCCUGCGCAAGGAUGACAUGCAAAUUCAUGAAGCAUUCCAUAUUUUU
rnacentral:snRNA from 1 species